GAGGAAACGACUAAAACGGCUUUAUCUAACUCGUCAAAACUGAGUGAUAAUUAAAAAAUCGUUUUUAAAGCUUCAAGUGUGAAGAUUAAGCUUAUAAGUGCUGGUCCAAUACCAUGCUUUGAUGCAGCGCUUUUAAAAUAUAUAUAUAUAAGUUAUAUAACGUUCGUUUAUAUUGGUCUGAGUCGUGUAGAGGUCGUGUCUUCAACGCCGCAAAUUUCUGUCAAGUGUCAACGACAAGUCAAUAUUGAAGACGAAAUGGCCAAAUUAUGCGUGGGACGUCGCUUUCAUUGUUAUUUUUGUAAUCGUUUAUCGGUUUUGGCGAUUUUGUUUGGAUUGACGCUCAGCAGCCAGUCUGCAAUAAGAG